rnacentral:rRNA from 1 species
GACGAACGCUGGCGGCGUGCUUAACACAUGCAAGUCGAACGGAAAGGCCCUGCUUUUGUGGGGUGCUCGAGUGGCGAACGGGUGAGUAACACGUGAGUAACCUGCCCUUGACUUUGGGAUAACUUCAGGAAACUGGGGCUAAUACCGGAUAGGAGCUCCUGCUGCAUGGUGGGGGUUGGAAAGUUUCGGCGGUUGGGGAUGGACUCGCGGCUUAUCAGCUUGUUGGUGGGGUAGUGGCUUACCAAGGCUUUGACGGGUAGCCGGCCUGAGAGGGUGACCGGCCACAUUGGGACUGAGAGACGGCCCAGACUCCUACGGGAGGCAGCAGUGGGGAAUAUUGCACAAUGGGCGGAAGCCUGAUGCAGCAACGCCGCGUGCGGGAUGACGGCCUUCGGGUGGUAAACCGCUUUCGCCUGUGACGAAGCGUGAGUGACGGUAAUGGGUAAAGAAGCACCGGCUAACUACAU